GUGGGGAAUCUUCCGCAAUGGACGAAAGUCUGACGGAGCAACGCCGCGUGAACGAUGACGGCCUUCGGGUUGUAAAGUUCUGUUAUACGGGACGAAUGGUACGACGGCCAAUACCCGUCGUAAGUGACGGUACCGUAAGAGAAAGCCACGGCUAACUACGUGCCAGCAGCCGCGGUAAUACGUAGGUGGCAAGCGUUGUCCGGAAUUAUUGGGCGUAAAGGGCGCGCAGGCGGCGUCGUAAGUCGGUCUUAAAAGUGCGGGGCUUAACCCCGUGAGGGGACCGAAACUGCGAUGCUAGAGUAUCGGAGAGGAAAGCGGAAUUCCUAGUGUAGCGGUGAAAUGCGUAGAUAUUAGGAGGAACACCAGUGGCGAAAGCGGCUUUCUGGACGACAACUGACGCUGAGGCGCGAAAGCCAGGGGAGCAAACGGGAUUAGAUACCCGGGUAGUCC
rnacentral:rRNA from 1 species